AGUUCUAUGCUACAAUGGUUAGGGAAAUGGGUUUGCAACUCAGAGGUUGUAGGUUCAAAUCCCAUGUGGACAC